GCCAACUCGUUAUCCUGGCGUUUCUGCUCCAUUUCAAUUCUUAUGUCGUUUUGCCUUGCAAUUUCCUCCAAAAACUUUGAAUUAUUAUUGCUUGAAUCACCCGCUUUCUUUGCCUUCGCGGCCUUUCGGCCAAUAGGCCUCGGCUCCUUUUCAAUUGGUGAGUCUUGACUCAUAGGGGAAUCGAGAGGUGAAUCCGAUGUCAUUGAAUCACGGAGUGGCAUCUCGUUUAACACAACGGCGAGACCCGUC
rnacentral:lncRNA from 1 species